UACAGAGGGUGCAAGCGUUAAUCGGAAUUACUGGGCGUAAAGCGCGCGUAGGUGGUUUGUUAAGUUGGAUGUGAAAGCCCCGGGCUCAACCUGGGAACUGCAUCCAAAACUGGCAAGCUAGAGUAGGGCAGAGGGUGGUGGAAUUUCCUGUGUAGCGGUGAAAUGCGUAGAUAUAGGAAGGAACACCAGUGGCGAAGGCGACCACCUGGGCUCAUACCGACACUGAGGUGCGAAAGCGUGGGGAGCAAACAGG
rnacentral:rRNA from 1 species